CAGUCGCCACGGGAACACGUAGGGUGCAAGCGUUAAUCGGAAUUACUGGGCGUAAAGCGUGCGCAGGCGGUUAUAUAAGACAGAUGUGAAAUCCCCGGGCUCAACCUGGGAACUGCAUUUGUGACUGUAUAGCUAGAGUACGGCAGAGGGGGAUGGAAUUCCGCGUGUAGCAGUGAAAUGCGUAGAUAUGCGGAGGAACACCGAUGGCGAAGGCAAUCCCCUGGGCCUGUACUGACGCUCAUGCACGAAAGCGUGGGGAGCAAACAGGAUUAGAUACCCCGGUAGUCCCUGUCUCUUAUAC
rnacentral:rRNA from 1 species